rnacentral:rRNA from 1 species
AUGGGUGCGAGAAAUGCUACCAUCUGCUUUGUGCUGAUCCUUGUGUUAUUCGCGAAUCAUGGUUCUGCAGAAAAAAAGUGCUGGGGAAAUACCUCUGGGAGUCCACUCUGUGUAGGCUUCCUGUGCAAGGCAACAUGCUUGAUUGGAGGCAAAAUGUUUAAUGCCAUCGUAAAGGAACACAAGUGUAGAGGGCCAGCAUUGAACAGCGAAUGCUACUGCUAUUUCUGCGACAAAUAG